ensembl:lncRNA
GGUCACGCUGUGAUCAAGUGUGCCAUGGUGGGACUCACAUGUAGAAUAGCUGUAGUAGAGAAGGAACAUGAGAUAAAUCAUCUGGAACACACAGGACUGACUUGAAGCGUACUGAUGUAUCUGCGCGGGUAUCAGAGGCACUCGUUUUUUAAGCGUGUUCCUGGAGAGAGAGCCAUGCACCACACUGAAGCCCUCCUGAUCUUGGCUCGCUUAUGGAAGCUGUUUGCAUUCUCAGGGCAGCUGGGAUGGUGGUGGAGGGCCAGCAUCCCAGACUCUCCCUACCCCACUGAGGAGGUGGUUCUGGUGGAUGGUUGUGGAGAGCUGGCCUCCCAUCCUCAUGUCGAACCUGAUAACUCAAGUCUUCUGGGAGUGUGAAGAUGAACGAGCGACAGAGACGAAGGAGAGCUAUCGUCGCCGACAGACGCAGGCCCUAUGCUGGGAGAACACUGCAGCAGGAAAAGACGCCUCUCAACCCAGCACCAGACUCUACCAAUGGAACCUCUCCUUUUUACCUUAAAUUAAUAAAUAGAUGAUUACCAUGUUCAGUUUGUUUCGGGAUAAAUUGUUUUUCUUUCUUCUGACAAAUGUACUAAUCGUAAAUCGCCUUCGAUAAUAGUGUCUGCUAAAUUAGCUUAACGUAAAUGUAAAUGGACAGAGGUUUGUUGUGAA